CAAGGACCUUCUAGACUUGCAUAAGAG
rnacentral:piRNA from 1 species